GGCGGUUCUCGGGUGACACACCCAAGAAUCAGGCUCCCUUCUCUCUGGUUCCAGGUGUGUCACCUGAAAAACCUCA
rfam:Myotis brandtii contig282216, whole genome shotgun sequence.